rnacentral:lncRNA from 1 species
UGACUAAGUCAGUGAGCAAGUCUUCUCAGGUCAGAGUUUCACGCCGCGCGUGGACAGUCCCCACGCUGCGCGUGAUCAAAGCUGGUUUUUGGUCUCUCUGUGAUAAGCAUCACGCUGCGCGUGAUGGACCNAGCGUAGUGCAAAACUCUAUUUUUCUGCAUAAUUUCCUGCUUUCUUGUAUUCCAAGUAACCUUGCUUCCGAGUUGAUUUCUCUUGAUUUUAUUGCUUAAAACCCUCUAAAAUGAGUCUAAUGUCCCUCAAAUAAGCAUGGAUUAGAGAGUGUGACGAUCCGUCAUCACAACCCCAAACUUAAACCUUUCUUUGUCCUCAAGGAAACAACUUUUACCUCAAGCUUUUGUGUCAAGACUUUGGCAUUCUCCUUAGAUUCACUCGAAUCAUACAUACGUGAGAAUCACCUGAUGAUCAAUGAUCCACCUGCAAACAAUGCUCAAUUGCACAAUCGUUCCCGCAAGGCAUUUUCAAGUAAUUCACACUUUUCAACCAAGGCUCUAUGAUU